AUUGAACGCUGGCGGCAUGCCUUACACAUGCAAGUCGAACGGCAGCACGGGAGCAAUCCUGGUGGCGAGUGGCGAACGGGUGAGUAAUACAUCGGAACGUGCCCAGUAGUGGGGGAUAGCCCGGCGAAAGCCGGAUUAAUACCGCAUACGACCUACGGGUGAAAGCGGGGGAUCGCAAGACCUCGCGCUAUUGGAGCGGCCGAUGGCAGAUUAGCUUGUUGGUGGGGUAAAGGCCCACCAAGGCGACGAUCUGUAGCUGGUCUGAGAGGACGACCAGCCACACUGGGACUGAGACACGGCCCAGACUCCUACGGGAGGCAGCAGUGGGGAAUUUUGGACAAUGGGCGCAAGCCUGAUCCAGCCAUGCCGCGUGCGGGAAGAAGGCCUUCGGGUUGUAAACCGCUUUUGUCAGGGAAGAAACGGUCUGAUCUAAUAAGUCGGACUAAUGACGGUACCUGAAGAAUAAGCACCGGCUAACUACGUGCCAGCCGCCGCAGUAA
rnacentral:rRNA from 1 species